rnacentral:rRNA from 1 species
AACUUGUGGCGGUGGAUCUCUUGGCUCGCGCGUCGAUGAAGAACGCAGCCAGCUGCGAUAAGUAGUGUGAAUUGCAGAAUUCAGUGAAUCAUCGAAUCUUUGAACGCAAAUGGCGCUCUUGGGUUGUCCCAGGAGCAUGUCUGUCUGAGUGUCGUGAAAUGCAAAUCAUC